GUCAAGGUUGAAAUUUAUUGGCAGCAAGGCUCGCAAUGAAUGGAUUAAUCAAAAUAACAAACAUUGCUAAAAUUAAAAACAAGUAAGAUGAAAUUAGGUGCCCUAAAUAUCGCAGCAUGAACUUUUUUACAAAAACUUUCUAAGGACCAUUUUAAGCCUGACAUGUGUUUAGGAGAUCUAGAGUACUUUGUUGAUGCCCCAAGAUGUAACGUUUCUCCUCCUUGUUAAUUCUAAGGGGACAAGACUACCACAUGCC
rnacentral:lncRNA from 1 species